rnacentral:rRNA from 1 species
GCUGGCGGCGUGCCUAAUACCUGCAAGUCGAGCGAACGGACGAGCAAAGCUUGCUUCUCUGAUGUUAGCGGCGGACGGGUGAGUAACACGUGGAUAACCUACCUAUAAGACUGGGAUAACUUCGGGAAACCGGAGCUAAUACCGGAUAAUAUUUUGAACCGCAUGGUUCAAAAGUGAAAGACGGUCUUGCUGUCACUUAUAGAUGGAUCCGCGCUGCAUUAGCUAGUUGGUAAGGUAACGGCUUACCAAGGCAACGAUGCAUAGCCGACCUGAGAGGGUGAUCGGCCACACUGGAACUGAGACACGGUCCAGACUCCUACGGGAGGCAGCAGUAGGGAAUCUCCCGCAAUGGGCGAAAGCCUGACGGAGCAACGCCGCGUGAGUGAUGAAGGUCUUCGGAUCGUAAAACUCUGUCUAUUAGGGAAGAACAUAUGUGUAAGUAACUGUGCACAUCUUCGACGGUACCUAAUCAGAAAGCCACGGCCUAACUACGUGCCAGCAGCCGCGGUAAUACGUAGGUGGCAAGCGUUAUCCGGAAUCAUCGGGCGUAAAGCGCGCGUAGGCGGUUCUCUAACGUCUGAUGUGAAACGCCCACGGUCAACCGUCGGACGGGUCCAUCGGAAAC